rnacentral:misc_RNA from 1 species
UGGUUCUGGCAUCGAUGAAGAACGCAGCGAAAUGCGAUAAGUAAUGCGAAUUGCAGAAUUCCAGUGAGUCAUCGAAUCUUUGAACGCACAUUGCGCCCUUUGGUAUUCCGAAGGGCAUGCCUGUUCAAGCGUCAUUAUCACCCCUCAAGCCCAUGGGCUUGGUGUUGGACGGCCGGUCGGGCGAUCGAGCGAUCGACCCCUCCUAAAGACAAUGACGGCGGCCUGUGGUUCCCCCGGUACACUGAGUUUUUCAUCGAGCACGUAUCGGACGAGGGCACCCGGGGCCCGGUCCCCUCCUUGCUACAAGGAAACUUCUAUGGUUGACCUCGGAUCGGGUAGGAAUACGCGCUGA